CGAAGUCGGCUCUUCCUAUCAUUUGGAAGCAAAAUUCACCUAGCGUCGAAUGGUCACCAAUAUUAGGGAACGUGAGCUGGGUUUAGACCGUCGUGGAACAGGUUAGUUUCACCUACUGGAGAAGGUGUUGUGCAAGAUAGUAUCCUGCUCAGUACGAGAGAAACCGCAGGUUCAGACAUUUGGUGUGUGUGCUUGGCUGAGGAGCCAAUGGUGCGAAGCUACCAUCUGUGAGGAUUAUGACUGAACGCCUCUAAGUCAGAAUCCCCCCUAGACGUGACGAUACCAUAGCGCCGCGGACCUCCGGUUGGCCACGGAUAGCCGGCUUCGGCCGGUGGGCAGGGCCGCUCGAGACGGGGCCGGGGCGCGGCCGGACGAUGGCCGCCCCUCUCCCACCUCGCACCGCAUGUUUGUGGAGAAUCCGGUGCUAAAUCACUUGCAGACGACCUGAUUCUGGGUCAGGGUGUCGUGAGUAGCAGAGCAGCUCCCUCGCUGCGAUCUACUGAAAGUCAGCCCUCGAUCCAAGCUUUUGU
rnacentral:ncRNA from 1 species